UACGUAGGGUGCGAGCGUUAAUCGGAAUUACUGGGCGUAAAGCGUGCGCAGGCGGUUUUGUAAGCCAGAUGUGAAAUCCCCGGGCUUAACCUGGGAAUGGCAUUUGGGACUGCAAGGCUGGAGUGUGGCAGAGGAGACUGGAAUUCCUGGUGUAGCAGUGAAAUGCGUAGAUAUCAGGAGGAAUACCGAUGGCGAAGGCAGGUCUCUGGGCUAACACUGACGCUGAGGAGCGAAAGCGUGGGGAGCGAACAGG
rnacentral:rRNA from 1 species